rnacentral:rRNA from 1 species
UACGAAGGGGGCUAGCGUUGCUCGGAAUCACUGGGCGUAAAGGGUGCGUAGGCGGGUCUUUAAGUCAGGGGUGAAAUCCUGGAGCUCAACUCCAGAACUGCCUUUGAUACUGAAGAUCUUGAGUUCGGGAGAGGUGAGUGGAACUGCGAGUGUAGAGGUGAAAUUCGUAGAUAUUCGCAAGAACACCAGUGGCGAAGGCGGCUCACUGGCCCGAUACUGACGCUGAGGCACGAAAGCUUGGGGAGCAAACAGG